rnacentral:lncRNA from 1 species
CCUCUACGCACAAGCCCAGAAGCUGCGAAAACACAGCAGCCACCUCUUCACAGGAGCUCAAGGCCAUCAUUCGAGAGCAGCAGACGCGGCCCAUCUGGACGGCGGAAGAUCAGCUGGAUGGCUCCUUGGAGGACAACCUAGACCUCCCUCACCACGGCCUGGCCGACAGCUCCGCUGACCUCAGCUGCGACAGCCGCGUUAACAGCGACUACGAGACGGACGGCGAGGGCGGCGCGUACACGGAUGGCGAGGGCUACACAGACGGCGAGGGGGGGCCCUACACGGAUGUGGAUGAUGAGCCCCCGGCUCCAGCCCUGGCCCGGUCCUCGGAGCCCGUGCAGGCAGAUGAGUCCCAGAGCCCGAGGGAUCGUGGGAGAAUCUCGGCUCAUCAGGGGGCCCAGGUGGACAGCCGCCACCCCCAGGGACAGUGGCGACAGGACAGCAUGCGAACCUAUGAACGGGAAGCCCUGAAGAAAAAGUUUAUGCGAGUACAUGAUGCGGAGUCCUCCGAUGAAGACGGCUAUGACUGGGGUCCGGCCACUGACCUGUGACCUCUCGAAGGCUGCCAGCUGGUCCGUCCUCCUUCUCCCUCCCUGGGGCUGGGACUCAGUUUCCCAUACAGAACCCACAACCUUACCUCCCUCCGCCUGGUCUUUAAUAAACAGAGUAUUUUCACAGCA